CAGCUGGGUGUUGAGCACAUAGCGAACUAUUCUUUCGCCUUUUACUAAAGAAUACCGUGUGCUUGUCACAAUUCAAACAGCUUACGUCAUUUUUUGAGGGUAUUUUCUUUUUAAGGAAAAU